rnacentral:rRNA from 1 species
UGCAGUCGAACGGUGAAAGCGGAGCUUGCUCCGCUGGAUCAGUGGCGAACGGGUGAGUAACACGUGGGCAACCUGCCCUUCACUCUGGGAUAACUCCGGGAAACCGGAGCUAAUACCGGAUAUGACCCCUGCAGACAUCUGCGGGGGUGGAAAGUUUUUCGGUGAAGGAUGGGCCCGCGGCCUAUCAGCUAGUUGGUGAGGUAGUGGCUCACCAAGGCGACGACGGGUAGCCGGCCUGAGAGGGCGACCGGCCACACUGGGACUGAGACACGGCCCAGACUCCUACGGGAGGCAGCAGUGGGGAAUAUUGCGCAAUGGGCGAAAGCCUGACGCAGCAACGCCGCGUGCGGGAUGAAGGCCUUCGGGUUGUAAACCGCUUUCAGCAGGGAAGAAGCCGCAAGGUGACGGUACCUGCAGAAGAAGCACCGGCUAACUACGUGCCAGCAGC